UAUUUAUUCCUUUAUUUUUUUAUUUUGGCAGGUUCGUCUGUUGUAGUGACAGACAGCAGCUGUUUAGGGGGGUCAGAGGUCAUCGCUCAGCUUUACAUCAACAUUUACUCAAAUUAUACCAACAAAAGGCCGUUUCCUUUAAAUGAAAUCUGUUUUCAUUUAAAGGAUGGUCACCGGGACGAAAUAAUGAACUCCACACUCCUCGUUUUAUCCCAUGUAGCGUUUCAUAGUAGACAACAACUGUAAACGAUGGUGAAGAGGAAGAGGAAGGCACAACAUCCCCACCUUCCUCAUGUUUCCUCGAACGACGACCACGACAGAGUGAAGAGAAAGAAAAAAAGAUGAGGUGAAAUAGCAGAGCCAACCCGGAGAGAAGGCUGCUGCCAUCAGCAUCUAGCUUCCUUCCUGAUGACAUCACACACAUUGUGAAAGCAUGCAGCAGUGAUUGGUCGGGGACGGGGAGCGACGUGUAGUCCGUUACGUUUCCUAAUCUGACAGAGUGACCAUCGUAACUGAACCAGGAAGUUUAAUCUGCUCCAGGCUUUAAUGAGAUUAUCAGAGAUUAACAUCAGAUUAUUAAUCUAAUGUUUCUAUUUCAUAUGUUGAACAAAUGAACUCAAUCUGACACCCAGAAGAGGAAGAAUAAGCCAUGGACCCUGCUAGCUGUCAAUCAUUAAUAA